rnacentral:rRNA from 1 species
CCGGAGAGGGAGCCUGAGAAACGGCUACCACAUCCAAGGAAGGCAGCAGGCGCGCAAAUUACCCAAUCCUAAUUCAGGGAGGUAGUGACAAUAAAUAACGAUACAGGGCCCUUUGGGUCUUGUAAUUGGAAUGAGUACAAAUAGCGUAUAUUAAAGUUGUUGCAGUUAAAAAGCUCGUAGUUGAACUUUGGGCACGGAGGGCCGGUCCGAUUAUUUCGAGAACUGGAAGCCUCUGUGCCUUUCCUUCUGGGGAACCUAUGCUCCUUGUGGGUGUAGGGGGUCCAGGAUUUUUACUUUGAAAAAAUUAGAGUGUUCAAAGCAGGCGUAUUGCUCGAAUAUAUUAGCAUGGA